CAAAACGCUAAGCAGGCCCUGCUGCUGCGUGCCUGUGAGACCUCACAAGCGCAGGACAAGGAGGAUGCUGUGCUGUUCAGGGCACUCAAUUUGGAGAAAGAGCCUCCUGGAUUUCCAGCAGGGUGAUGCUGGAUGUGUCCUGCUUCACAUCUCACCCAUAGGAGACCUCAUUUUAGGGGCUGCAGGCAUAGGCACCAUCCUGGUCUUCUCCAGCCCCCGGCGCAGCUUCAUGCAGCAGAGCAGCGAGGUACCAAACACCUCCAUCCCUCUCCCUAAGGCAAAACAACGGCUCCAGCAGCAGGCAGAGGAUAGCACCAGGCAGCAGAGAGCAGCCGUACAUCAGAGACUGUGAGGAGCACAGCUGUGGUGGCCAUCAAAGCCAUACUUUCUCCAGCAUGGGAAGCUGCAAGAAGACAAGAAGGAGGCAGAGAUAAGGGAAUGCUUCACUCAUGAGGGUCUCAAAGCACCAGGGAACGGUUAUGGUCUGGAAGAACCAUAUAACAAGAGUUACCCGAGGAACUCUUACGGGCUGAGGUCUCACAGCCAAACUUGGAGUCUCCUGCUGAGAUGCUUUAUCUCUUUAUAGCCAAGCAUUGGGCUGAGGUCAAGGGUCCCAUAGGUGCAGUCAGCCCACCGGACCCCUCAGCAGAUGACUGCUGCUGAGGGCUUUAUUAGUUCCUCCAGUAAUGGUGAUGAAUUAGCCUGCUUCACACACUCCUCUCAUCACUUUUGAUUUAUAUCCCUCACGCUUUGUAUGCCGAAAGCAAAACCAUUGAUGAGAUACUUCAAGGAGAGCAUGACUGUAGGUGCAAGUGCCUUUUUCAUGUCUUCGAAGCUCAAGCUGCAGAAUCACAGCAGCAAGAGCAACAUGAAGGUGAGUGAGGUCCUUCCAUCCUGAUCCUGACUCCAUCCCCUGCUCAGCACUAGCAAGG
ensembl:lncRNA